UUGGAGGGCAAGUCUGGUGCCAGCAGCCGCGGUAAUUCCAGCUCCAGUAGCGUAUAUUAAAGUUGUUGCAGUUAAAAAGCUCGUAGUUGAAUUUCGGGAUCAGUACGUUGGUCGUGCCUUAGGUACGUACUGGUGUUACUGGUUCCUACCUUCUGACGAACCAUCAUGUCAUUAAUUUGGUGUGGCGGGGAAUCAGGACUGUUACUUUGAAAAAAUUAGAGUGUUUAAAGCAGGCUCGCGCUUGAAUACAUUAGCAUGGAAUAAUGAAAUAGGACGUUGAUCCUAUUUUGUUGGUUUCUAGGAUUGACGUAAUGAUUAAUAGGGAUAGUUGGGGGCAUUAGUAUUCAAUUGUCAGAGGUGAAAUUCUUGGAUUUAUUGAAGACUAACUACUGCGAAAGCAUUUGCCAAGGAUGUUUUCAUUAAUCAAGAACGAAAGUUAGGGGAUCGAAGACGAUCAGAUACCGUCGUAGUCUUAACCAUAAACUAUGCCGACUAGGGAUCGGAUGAUGUUAAUUUUUUAAUGACUCAUUCGGCGCCUUACGGGAAAC
rnacentral:rRNA from 1 species